UUAGCAGAUCAGUCUUAUCGCCAAAAUUUGGAGGAAAGUCCGGACACCAUAGGGUAGCAUAGCGGAUAACAUCCGUCCGGUGUAAACCGAGGACAAGUGCAACAGAAAGCAAGUACAGUUCGGCUGUAGUGAAACCAGGUAAACUCUAUGCGGUGCAAUACCACGUAUAUUAGAGCUUGAGCGCUACUCGCGCGAUUCUAAGGGGUAGGUAGAUAGACUCUAAAAGUAAUUUUAGAGCGAGAUAAAUGAUAAGAACUUUGUAAGUUACAGAAUCCGGCUUAUUGAUCUGCUUUUUUC
rnacentral:RNase_P_RNA from 1 species